UACGAAGGGGGCUAGCGUUGCUCGGAAUUACUGGGCGUAAAGCGCACGUAGGCGGAUUGUUAAGUCGGGGGGUGAAAUCCUGGAGCUCAACUCCAGAACUGCCUUCGAUACUGGCGAUCUCGAGUUCGGGAGAGGUGAAUGGAACUGCGAGUGUAGAGGUGAAAUUCGUAGAUAUUCGCAAGAACACCAGUGGCGAAGGCGGCUCACUGGAUCGGUACUGACGCUGAGGUGCGAAAGCGUGGGGAGCAAACAGGGAUUAAGAAACCCUAGUAACGU
rnacentral:rRNA from 1 species